UCUCUCUCUCAAAAUAAAUACGUAAGUUUAAAAAUUUUUAAAAACUCUGAGUUCUGAAGUUAAGGCUUUAAAAUUAAAACUAAACAUAUAUUGGUUAGGAGAGUUUAGGUACGUGAAGAUAUAGAUGUCAGCAAGUCCGAGCAUUUCUUAGUUCCAUGACUGAAAACAUGUCCCUGACCUUCACUUCCAGACAGGUCCUGCAUUAUCCCCACUAUCCCCACUCAAGUCUGACACCAGUGAAAGAACAUGAGAAUGCAAAGUGGGCCCUCGCUAGGAUGGCAAUGUCUUCUAAUUCCUGGCAAUUAUCCUUGAAGUUCAAGUUAGCCAGCAAUUACUGAGUUUGGGAAACAUGGAGAAGAAUGAUACCGAUUUUUAACUUACUAGCAACUGUCUCUUUCAGUUGGGUACCAAAGCCGUGGGUGAUCGUGCGGAGCUCUCCGUACCUGUGCUGUGCUCGCUCACUCUUCUGGCUCAGCAGGAUGUAGUCAUUCAGGCUGAGGAGUGAGGAAGGGGUACAAGUUGGAACUGGUAAGUAAAGUAAAUGUACCCUCUGAGAGGUGAGGUGAGGGUUUGUGAAACUUGUUGGAUUCCAGUAGUAGGAACAACAGAAAGACAAGUAACCAUGGCAACUAUGUGCAGAGGAUGCCACUUGAGGAAGAU